CAUGAAUACAUUAAGUUUGAGAAAGCUGAUAAAAUCACCAAAAAAGACGAAACCAAGAAAUUGCCAUAAAAAUGCUUUUUUUUUAGAGUGGCAGUCUCAGAAAAACGAUCCUCAGCCAAGCUGGAAAAGUACGUAGAGGAGAAGGUCGGAGUAGGCUUGCUUCCUCCUUUGAAGCCUAUUUCGGGUGCUUGCUUGGUCCGGGGCAGGGUGCUUUUCAAUACCUGCUUGGAACGAGCGGAAGGACUCCUAAUCCCCGGAGUGAAGACAAGAUUGACUUUGAAAGCUCAACACUCGAGCAAAGCAUAAGAGCAUAGUGUACUUCUAGAAAGCUAGAGAGGAGCUGAAGAGAGUUGAAUA
rnacentral:lncRNA from 1 species